rnacentral:rRNA from 1 species
CCUACGGGCGGCAGCAGUGGGGAAUAUUGCACAAUGGGGGAAACCCUGAUGCAGCGACGCCGCGUGAGUGAAGAAGUAUUUCGGUACGUAAAGCUCUAUCAGCAGGGAAGAAAAUGACGGUACCUGACUAAGAAGCCCCGGCUAACUACGUGCCAGCAGCCGCGGUAAUACGUAGGGGGCAAGCGUUAUCCGGAUUUACUGGGUGUAAAGGGAGCGUAGACGGCAGCGCAAGUCUGGAGUGAAAUCCCAUGGCUUAACCAUGGAACUGCUUUGGAAACUGUGCAGCUAGAGUGCAGGAGAGGUAAGCGGAAUUCCUAGUGUAGCGGUGAAAUGCGUAGAUAUUAGGAGGAACACCAGUGGCGAAGGCGGCUUACUGGACUGUAACUGACGUUGAGGCACGAAAGCGUGGGGAGCAAACAGGAUUAGAUACCCGAGUAGUC